rnacentral:rRNA from 1 species
UACAGAGGGGGCAAGCGUUGUUCGGAAUUACUGGGCGUAAAGGGCGCGUAGGCGGCCUUCUAAGUCGAACGUGAAAUCCCCGGGCUCAACCCGGGAACUGCGUCCGAUACUGGAAGGCUUGAAUCCGGGAGAGGGAUGCGGAAUUCCAGGUGUAGCGGUGAAAUGCGUAGAUAUCAGGAGGAACACCCGUGGCGAAAGCGGCUCUCUGGGACGGUACUGACGCUGAGACGCGAAAGCGUGGGGAGCAAACAGG